rnacentral:rRNA from 1 species
GACGAACGCUGGCGGCGUGCCUAAUACAUGCAAGUAGGACGCAGUUGCGAACGGGUGAGUAACGCGUAGGUAACUGCCUAUUAGAGGGGGAUAAAUAGUGGAAACGAUAGCUAAUACCGCAUACUAGUAGAUGGACCUGCGUUGUAUUAGGUAGUAGGUAGGGUAAUGGUCUACCUAGGCAACGAUACAUAGACGACCUGAGAGGUGGAUCGGCCACACUGGGACUGAGAAACGGCCCAGACUCCUACGGGAGGCAGCAGUAGGGAAUCUUGGGCAAUGGGGGGAACCCUGAACGAGCAACGCCGCGUGAGAGAAGAAGGUUUUCGGGUCGUAAAGCUCUGUUGUUAAGGAAGCGGUACUUAACCAGAAAGGGACGGCUAACUACGUGCCAGCCGCCGCGGUAAUAC